ACUAGCGAGCGUACAGUGAAACGGUAGACGACGAACGAGCGACGAUUACGACCAGCAUAUACUACACUUCUGUACAGAAGCCCCAGCCCCCCUCGUUACAUUUUCGAUGGAGGACGUGCAUCGCCUCGUGUGCAACUCAUCUGGACGACCGCGACGACACGAACGCGAAAAACAAUGCAGACCGAAUCAUGCUAGACAUGAAGCGGCGUCAAAAACAAGUCAAAGGAAUACAUGUUACGUAUGAAAUAUCAGCAAGAAUCAGAGAGAAAGACGGAAAAACAAUUACGGACUUACCGGUGAU